rnacentral:rRNA from 1 species
AUGGCUGUCGUCAGCUCGUGUCGUGAGAUGUUGGGUUAAGUUCCGCAACGAGCGCAACCCUUGUCAUUAGUUGCUACAUUUGGUUGGGCACUCUAAUGAGACUGCCGGUGACAAACCGGAGGAAGGUGGGGAUGACGUCAAGUCCUCAUGGCCCUUAUGGGUAGGGCUUCACACGUCAUACAAUGGUCGGGACAGAGGGUUGCCAAGCCGCGAGGCGGAGCCAAUCUCAGAAACCCGAUCGUAGUCCGGAUCGCAGUCUGCAACUCGACUGCGUGAAGUCGGAAUCGCUAGUAAUCGCGGAUCAGCAUGUCGCGGUGAAUACGUUCCCGGGUCUUGUACACACCGCCCGU